rnacentral:rRNA from 1 species
GACGAACGCUGGCGGCGUGCUUAACACAUGCAAGUCGAGCGGGAAACUUCGGUUUCCAGCGGCGGACGGGUGAGUAACACGUGGGCAACCUGCCUCACAAUGAGGGAUAGCCCUCCGAAAGGAGGAGUAAUACCUCAUAACACAAGAGAAACGCGUGUUUUUCGUGUCAAAGAAUUUCGUUGUGAGAUGGGCCCGCGGCGCAUUAGCUUGUUGGUGAGGUAACGGCUCACCAAGGCUUCGAUGCGUAGCCGACCUGAGAGGGUGAUCGGCCACAUUGGAACUGAGACACGGUCCAGACUCCUACGGGAGGCAGCAGUGGGGAAUAUUGCACAAUGGAGGAAACUCUGAUGCAGCAACGCCGCGUGAGUGAUGAAGGUCUUCGGAUUGUAAAGCUCUGUCUUCUGGGACGAUAAUGACGGUACCAGAGGAGGAAGCCACGGCUAACUACGUGCCAGCCGCCGCGGUAA